rnacentral:rRNA from 1 species
CCUACGGGGGGCUGCAGUGGGGAAUAUUGGACAAUGGGCGAAAGCCUGAUCCAGCCAUGCCGCGUGUGUGAAGAAGGCCUUCGGGUUGUAAAGCACUUUCAGUGGGGAAGAAAGCCUUGGGGCUAAUACCCUCGAGGAAGGACAUCACCCACAGAAGAAGCACCGGCUAACUCCGUGCCAGCAGCCGCGGUAAUACGGAGGGUGCGAGCGUUAAUCGGAAUUACUGGGCGUAAAGCGCGCGUAGGCGGUCUGAUAAGCCGGUUGUGAAAGCCCCGGGCUCAACCUGGGAACGGCAUCCGGAACUGUCAGGCUAGAGUGCAGGAGAGGAAGGUAGAAUUCCCGGUGUAGCGGUGAAAUGCGUAGAGAUCGGGAGGAAUACCAGUGGCGAAGGCGGCCUUCUGGACUGACACUGACACUGAGGUGCGAAAGCGUGGGUAGCAAACAGGAUUAGAUACCCCGGUAGUC